rnacentral:rRNA from 1 species
UACGAAGGGUGCAAACGUUGCUCGGAAUCAUUGGGCGUAAAGCGCACGUAGGCGGCUUCGCAAGUCGGAUGUGAAAUCCCACGGCUCAACCAUGGGACGUGCAUUCGAAACUGCGAAGCUUGAGUAUGGAAGAGGGUCGCGGAAUUCCCGGUGUAGAGGUGAAAUUCGUAGAUAUCGGGAGGAACACCAGUGGCGAAGGCGGCGACCUGGGUCAAAACUGACGCUCAUGCACGAAAGCGUGGGGAGCAAACAGG